rnacentral:rRNA from 1 species
UACGGGGGGGGCAAGCGUUUGUUCGGAAUUACUGGGCGUAAAGGGUGCGUAGGCGGUUCACUAAGUUGGAUGUGAAAACUAUGGGCUCAACUCAUAGCUUGCAUCCAAUACUGAUGGACUAGAGUUCUGGAGGGGGUAGCGGAAUUCCUGGUGUAGCGGUGAAAUGCGUAGAUAUCAGGAGGAACACCGGUGGCAAGGCGGCUACCUGGACAGAGUCUGACGCUGAGGCACGAAAGCUAGGGGAGCAA